UACGAAGGGGCUAGCGUUGCUCGGAAUCACUGGGCGUAAAGGGUGCGUAGGCGGGUCUUUAAGUCAGGGGUGAAAUCCUGGAGCUCAACUCCAGAACUGCCUUUGAUACUGAGGAUCUUGAGUAUGGGAGAGGUGAGUGGAACUGCGAGUGUAGAGGUGAAAUUCGUAGAUAUUCGGAGGAACACCAGUGGCGAAGGCGGCUCACUGGUCCAUUACUGACGCUGAGGUGCGAAAAGCGUGGGGAGCAAACAGG
rnacentral:rRNA from 1 species